rnacentral:rRNA from 1 species
GACGAACGCUGGCGGCGUGCUUAACACAUGCAAGUCGAACGGAAAGGCCCUGCUUUUGUGGGGUGCUCGAGUGGCGAACGGGUGAGUAACACGUGAGUAACCUGCCCUUGACUUUGGGAUAACUUCAGGAAACUGGGGCUAAUACCGGAUAGGAGCUCCUGCUGCAUGGUGGGGGUUGGAAAGUUUCGGCGGUUGGGGAUGGACUCGCGGCUUAUCAGCUUGUUGGUGGGGUAGUGGCUUACCAAGGCUUUGACGGGUAGCCGGCCUGAGAGGGUGACCGGCCACAUUGGGAAUGGAAUACGGCCCAGACUCCUACGGGGGGCAGCAGGGGGGAAUAUUGCACAAUGGGCGGAAGCCUGAUGCAGCAACGCCGCGUGCGGGAUGACGGCCUUCGGGUUGUAAACCGCUUUCGCCUGUGACGAAGCGGGAGUGACGGUAAUGGGUAAAGAAGCACCGGCUAACUACGUG